CAACUCAUAAUUGCCCAAUCCUCUUCUUCUCUCCUCAUGGCAGAUCUCAAGCCCAAAUCUGAGAUUUCCUUCGCUGAAGUCUUCCUCUGCAGUGCCUUCGCCGCUUGUUUUGCCGAGUUCUGUACCAUUCCUCUGGACACUGCCAAAGUUAGGCUUCAGCUCCAACGCAAAGCUUCUACUGGGGAUGGAGUAAUACCCAAAUAUGGGGGUUUAUUGGGUACUGUGGCUACUAUUGCUAGGGAAGAAGGUUUAGCAGCACUUUGGAAGGGCAUCACUGCAGGAUUAAACCUCCAUAAAUGAACUGGCGA
rnacentral:misc_RNA from 1 species